GCACGUCAGUCAGGGCAGGUAUCACCUGCGUCACAUCUGGAGAGACAUGUUUAAAUUUUGCUUGUGCCUUGCGACCCGUCUGAGGCUGCAGCGCAGGCAGGGGAGCAGGCAACACGGCAGGGCCCAAAGGCUGCGACAGCGCCUGCUGAAUAGUGUGAGAGAGGGACGAAGACACGGUCCCCAUGGCCGAAGCCAGGGCCUUCUGCAUGGUGGAAUCAAAAAG